AGCUUUGCGCAGUGGCAGUAUCGUAGCCAAUGAGGUUUAUCUGAGGCGCGAUUUUUGCUAAUUGAAAACUUUUCCCAAUACCCUGCCAUGACGACUUGAAGUAUAGUCGGUGUCGGCAAUUUUUGGCAGUCUCUACGGGGA
rnacentral:snRNA from 1 species